rnacentral:rRNA from 1 species
GAUGAACGCUAGCUACAGGCUUAACACAUGCAAGUCGAGGGGUAACAAGAGGAAAGCUUGCUUUAUUUGUUGACGACCGGCGCACGGGUGAGUAACGCGUAUCCAACCUGCCUAUAACUAGGGAAUAACCUUGCGAAAGUAAGACUAAUACCCUAUGAUUUCCUUUGAUGACAUCAGAUUAGGACUAAAGAUUUAUCGGUUAUAGAUGGGGAUGCGUCUGAGUAGCUUGUUGGCGGGGUAACGGCCCACCAAGACAACGAUCAGUAGGGGUUCUGUGAUGAAGGUCCCCCACAUUGGAACUGAGACACGGUCCAAACUCCUACGGGAGGCAGCAGUUAGGAAUAUUGGUCAAUGGGCGGAAGCCUGAACCAGCCAAGUAGCGUGCAGGAUGACGGCCCUAUGGGUUGUAAACUGCUUUUAUACAGGAAUAAAGUUAGCCACGUGUGGUUAUUUGUAGGUACUGUAUGAAUAAGGACCGGCUAAUUCCGUGCCAGCCGCCGCCGUAA